rnacentral:rRNA from 1 species
CCCUUAGAUGUCCUGGGCCACACGCGCGCUACAAUGACUCACUCAGAAAGUUUUUCCUGAUCCGGAAGGAUUCGGGUAAUCUUCAUAGCAUGAGUCGUGUUAGGGAUCGAUCUUUGCAAUUAUAGAUCUUGAACGAGGAAUGCCUAGUAAGUGCAGCUCAUCAGGCUGUACUGAUUACGUCCCUGCCCUUUGUACACACCGCCCGUCGCUCCUACCGAUUGAGUGGUCCGGUGAACCUUCUGGAUUAAGCAGCAAUGCUUGAGAAGUUAGGUAAACCUUAUCACUUAGAGGAAGGAGAAGUCGUAACA